rnacentral:rRNA from 1 species
GACGAACGCUGGCGGCGUGCUUAACACAUGCAAGUCGAACGGAAAGGCCCUGCUUGCAGGGUGCUCGAGUGGCGAACGGGUGAGUAACACGUGGGUGAUCUGCCCCUUACUUUGGGAUAAGCCUGGGAAACUGGGUCUAAUACUGGAUAGGACCAUGCUGUAGGUGGUGUGGUGGAAAGAUUAGUUUCGGUAAGGGAUGAGCUCGCGGCCUAUCAGCUUGUUGGUGGGGUAAUGGCCUACCAAGGCGUCGACGGGUAGCCGGCCUGAGAGGGUGGACGGCCACAUUGGGACUGAGAUGCGGCCCAGACUCCUACGGGAGGCAGCAGUGGGGGAUAUUGCACAAUGGGCGCAAGCCUGAUGCAGCGACGCCGCGUGGGGGAUGACGGCCUUCGGGUUGUAAACUCCUUUCAGCCAUGACGAAGCCCUUGUGGUGACGGUAGUGGUAGAAGAAGCACCGGCUAACUACGUG